rnacentral:rRNA from 1 species
GAAGGGUGCAAGCGUUACUCGGAAUUACUGGGCGUAAAGCGUGCGUAGGUGGUGAGUUAAGUCUGUCGUGAAAGCCCCGGGCUCAACCUGGGAAUGGCGAUGGAUACUGGCUCGCUAGAGUGCGGUAGAGGGUGGUGGAAUUCCCGGUGUAGCAGUGAAAUGCGUAGAGAUCGGGAGGAACAUCAGUUGCGAAGGCGGCCACCUGGACCAGCACUGACACUGAGGCACGAAAGCGUGGGGAGCAAACAGGAUUAGAUACCCUGGUAGUCCACGCCCUAAACGAUGCGAACUGGACGUUGGGAGCAACUAGGCUCUCAGUGUCGAAGCUAACGCGUUAAGUUCGCCGCCUGGGGAGUACGGUCGCAAGACUG